UACGGGGGGGGCAAGCGUUGUUCGGAAUUACUGGGCGUAAAGGGUUCGUAGGUGGCUUGCUAAGUCAGACGUGAAAUCCCUCAGCUUAACUGGGGAACUGCGUCUGAUACUGGCGAGCUUGAGUGCAGGAGAGGAACGCAGAAUUCCAGGUGUAGCGGUGAAAUGCGUAGAUAUCUGGAGGAAUACCGGUGGCGAAGGCGGCGUUCUGGACUGCAACUGACACUGAUGAACGAAAGCGUGGGGAGCGAACAGG
rnacentral:rRNA from 1 species